rnacentral:rRNA from 1 species
UGCCAGCCGCCGCGGUAAUACGGAGGGGGUUAGCGUUGUUCGGAAUUACUGGGCGUAAAGCGCGCGUAGGCGGCCUGGCAAGUUGGGCGUGAAAGCCCGGGGCUCAACCCCGGAUGUGCGCCCAAAACUGCCAAGCUAGAGGCCGAGAGAGGGUGGCGGAAUUCCCAGUGUAGAGGUGAAAUUCGUAGAUAUUGGGAAGAACACCAGUGGCGAAGGCGGCCACCUGGCUCGGUACUGACGCUGAGGUGCGAAAGCGUGGGGAGCAAACAGGAUUAGAUA